UUUUUUUUUUUUUUUUUUUUUUUAUAGACACUACAGUAAACAUUAUGUUUGUUUAGCAAAAAGAGCUUAAUGUCUAGACCAAGUUCUUGUUCAUCACUAAAAUCCUCACAAAGGAUUUCCAAAGGCAGUGUAGAAGGCACUCUGCAGCACUGGCAGUGACAGUGCCCCUUGGCACCCACUGAGACAUUAAAGUUCCUAUGGCUGAAGCAUCUUUUAGCGGCUGUGAGCAUUUCCUGGGGAGCUACAUCUAGCUGAAGGUCUUUCAACCACAUCCCUUUUUCUCUCGAGGACAUGAGAAGAGCACACCAAAACUGUACUCUACAGGUCCUGCACAUUAGUGAAGCAAUGAUGAGUUUCUCCAUGUCUUUCUCAAGGGAACUUUGAAGUCAUUCAAAGAGCUUUGGGAAUGUAUAUUUUAAUAACAACCCAGGACUGUACUUGCUGGUCUUUGCAUUUGGCUUUGCCAUUUUGUUUACUAUAGAGUUUGUGAAAUAGGGACAAGCCAUAAACAUCCACCUAGCCGCAGUUCUGCAAUGACAUGCUCUGACAUGCAUGAGUAUUUUCGGUGGAAGUGUUCCUGCAGCCUUCUUCUUUGUGGGUUUUUAAGUCAUCCAGUUAGGGAGAAAAACAACCAUAACAUGUUACUGAGGUCACAGAUGAAUAAGACAUUAUGAAUAGUCAUGCUGGAAACAAAAGCUUUGGUGAAUACUUGGUGAGAACUGUGGGGGUUGACAAAAGUUUGCAGAGCAAUUCAAAUUAAUGAAGCACAUGGAAAAAUGUUACCUUGUGGAUAAUUUCCAGGCGACAAGAGUUUUUGAAUAAACUGUUCGAUGCUGGGAUUUCACUCUCCCUUAUUUUCAUCUGAGUUGUGAAUCAUCCGAUCAUCGGCUUGAAGGUAAAUCAUUAAGUAAAAAAAUUUAGGGGGCGGGGGGGGAGAGGAGGGGGUGGCAAUCAAUGUGUCAGGUUUACCCUAUGUCCCAGAGCAGUGAAUAAUUGCUGUUACUGUAGCAACUGAUGGCUUAAUGCCUAAGCUUAAACUUCUCCCCAGCAGUGUCAGAUCUUCUGAGUGGGUCAUAAAUAAAUGUGAAUAUAUAGAUAUCAUUUUUGCAUCAGAAACUUUGCCAACAGAUAAAAUACCUUUCUUUCUUAUGCCAUUUUAAAAGAGAGCAUAUACUAACAUGCCCACAUAAUAAUAACUUGCCCAUUUGUGACAAAGUUUUUCUCCAUAUCACAUCUUACUGCCAAGAGUAACAGUCAACAACUUCCUUCAUGAACUGCUGUGAUUUUAUCUGGAAGUUUCAAUUAGAUCUGUGCUUGUAAACUUUUCUCAGCUAUAGAUUAUGAACAUUUAUACACUUAGUCUCCCAGCAGCUGUGUAAAAUGAUAUAGUGCUUUACAGCUCUGGAUCUGAAAGAUAAAUACCAUAUAACCUGUCUUCAAUGUUGCAGAAAGUCUACAGCAGAAAAAGAUUCCAGAUUUCCUAUGAUCAGUUCCAGAGCCUUACAUACAUAAUUUUCCAAGCUAAACAUCAACUCUGCGGUCAUGGGUCCAGACAUAAAUGUCCCUAAUAUGUUAAAUGACUGAAACAUGCUGGCACAAAAAGACAGGGUGAAGUUGAGUGUUGGAAUAUUUACUUUUCUCAAUCUUACAUAAUCUUAGCAUGUUAAUCAGCUUUUUCUACCUCUGAGGUAGAUUUUAUAGAUUUUUCUCAAGUGAUGUAACAUACUUCAAGUUCCCUUUGGUCAUUCAGUUACUUAUUUCCCCUUUCUUCUACAAAAUAAGAGAAGGUUUGCCACCUGUCAGGAAAUUUCCAGUGAAAGGACAAAACUGGUAGCAGCAAUCAGCUGAAAGUAAGAAUGUGCUUAUUACAUGAAAGUGCAUGCUUAGCAAUUAAAAUUUUCUAAAACAACAUUGUAGUUGUUUUUGUGCUUUAUGUACAGUAUUAAAAAUAAAAUAGUCUACCACAUGUAAUUUAUGAAAGCAGCCAAUAAUGAGUUCAUUAUUGCAUAGCAAGACAAUGUUGCAGUCGUGGUUACAGGCCUAGCCAAAGUCUUUGAUCUUCUGGUUCAUUAAUGUAUAAAUGAAAAGACCUUAGCUAAUUAUCUCAGUAACUGGUCUCACUCAGGCCUCAGUCAGGUCUUAUUCAAGGGCUUACUCUUUCAUUUUCCGUCCUCUAUGCAGGGAGUGAGUCACCUGAGUCAUGAUUUAUUGUCCUUUCGUAUAGGAGAUUUGUUAUUUUCAUACCUAUGUCCAAGGGACUCAUCUGUCUAUAAAAUUUGCAAUUGAAACAAUUUGAAAAAUGCCAGGUGAUGUAGCUAUUUGCAGUGACACCACUGAGUAUUAGUAAAGAGGACCUGAUUUUAAAUAGGCAAAUACAGCACCCAAGAGUUGAGCCAGCCCCAGGGCUGAGCUGAGUAUCAUCAGAGCAUUGCUGCACUCUUUAGGCUCCUUCCUCUGCUCCAGGCAACCAGGCUGUGAAACCCAUGACUGGGAAUGAGAGUCCAUGUUAACAGGGCAUUUAAAAAAUCCAGUGAAGGUGAAUUUUUGAAUUUGCUGUCCUGGCUACUAACAGUGUACUCUGUCAAAACUGAACAGCUAAUAAUUCUUUCUAUCAGCUCUCAGCUGUCUACACAAAAAACAUGGUAUAGUUUAAAGCUCUUGUUCACUUCACCUUCAAAUAUUACAAAUGGUCACUUCUAUUCAGAUAAAUUUCAGUCAAAAUUGUAUGUGUAUAUAUAUAUGAAAUAUGUAUAUUUAUAAAAUAGCAAUUCAUUCUGAAUUUUAGAUUAUUGAAAUCUGAUUUUGAUGGUGAUUCUAAAAUGUGGUCUUUAUUUUAUACACAAGUUUUCAACUUGCAUCUCAAAGAAUACUAAUAGUUACCAAAUGGUGCUUCAUAGAUCAUUGUCAGUCUCUCUUGCCUUCUUCCCCCGUCUUUUUCAUUAUUUUAAUAAUGACAGUUCAGUGACAGCAAAUAGAAACAUUAUGUUCCUGCCUUAAGUUGCAUACUAAAUUAUUUUACCCCAGGAUUCUAUGACACAUUCUGUAUUUCUUAUUAUUAUAAAAAAAAUCACAUUCCAUGAAGAAUUUUGUCAU
ensembl:lncRNA